rnacentral:rRNA from 1 species
UGGGGAAUUUUGGACAAUGGGCAAAGCCUGAUCCAGCAAUGCCGCGUGUGUGAAGAAGGCCUUCGGGUUGUAAAGCACUUUUGUCCGGAAAGAAAUCCUUGGCUCUAAUACAGUCGGGGGAUGACGGUACCGGAAGAAUAAGCACCGGCUAACUACGUGCCAGCAGCCGCGGUAAUACGUAGGGUGCAAGCGUUAAUCGGAAUUACUGGGCGUAAAGCGUGCGCAGGCGGUUUGCUAAGACCGAUGUGAAAUCCCCGGGCUCAACCUGGGAACUGCAUUGGUGACUGGCAGGCUAGAGUAUGGCAGAGGGGGGUAGAAUUCCACGUGUAGCAGUGAAAUGCGUAGAGAUGUGGAGGAAUACCGAUGGCGAAGGCAGCCCCCUGGGCCAAUACUGACGCUCAUGCACGAAAGCGUGGGGAGCAAAACAGGAUUAGAUACCCUGGUAGUCCACGCCCUAAACGAUGUCAACUAGUUGUGGGGAUUCAUUUCCUUAGUAACGUAGCUAACGCGUGAAGUUGACCGCCUGGGGAGUACGGUCGCAAGAUUAAAACUU